rnacentral:rRNA from 1 species
GUAACGGCGAGUGAAGCGGCAACAGCUCAAAUUUGAAAUCUGGCUACAUUUCGUGGUCCGAGUUGUAAUUUGUAGAGGAUGCUUUUGGUGAGGUGCCUUCCGAGUUCCCUGGAACGGGACGCCAUAGAGGGUGAGAGCCCCGUACGGUUGGACACCAAACCUCUGUAUAGCUCCUUCAACGAGUCGAGUAGUUUGGGAAUGCUGCUCUAAAUGGGAGGUAUAUCUCUUCUAAAGCUAAAUAUAGGCUAGAGACCGAUAGCGCACAAGUAGAGUGAUCGAAAGAUGAAAAGCACUUUGAAAAGAGAGUUAAACAGCACGUGAAAUUGUUGAAAGGGAAGCGCCUAUGACCAGACUUGUUUCUGGCAGUUUUGUUAGCCUUCGGGCUGAUUUACUCUGUCCAGUACAGGCCAGCAUCAGUUUGUUGUCGGGGAGAAAGGCUCUGGGAACGUAGCUCCCCUCUUCGGGGGGGAGUGUUAUAGCCCUCUGCAUAAUACCCUUCGGCAGACUGAGGACCGCGCUUCGGCAAGGAUGCUGGCGUAAUGGUCAUCAGCGACCCGUCUUGAAACACGGACCAAGGAGUCAACCUUAUGUGCGAGUGUUUGGGUGUAAAACCCCAGCGCGUAAUGAAAGUGAACGUAGGUGAGAGCUUCGGCGCAUCAUCGACCGAUUCUGAUGUUUUCGGAUGGAUUUGAGUAAGAGCACACAGGGUUGGACCCGAAAGAAGGUGAACUAUGCUUGUAUAGNGGUGAAGCCAGAGGAAACUCUGGUGGAGGCUCGCAGCGGUUCUGACGUGCAAAUCGAUCGUCAAAUAUGAGCAUGGGGGCGAAAGACUAAUCG